GAUGAAGAACGUAGCGAAAUGCGAAAAGUAGUGUGAAUUGCAGAAUUCAGUGAAUCAUCGAAUCUUUGAACGCACAUUGCGCCCCUUGGUAUUCCAUGGGGCAUGCCUGUUCGAGCGUCAUUUUGUACCCUCAAGCACUGCUUGGUGUUGGGCGUUUGUCCUGCAGAGGACUCGCCUGAAAGCGAUUGGCGGCCAACGUAGUCGUGGCAGAGCGCAGCACAAUCUCGCGUCUCUCCCCUCUGCGUCGGCGUCCAUGAAGCCCACAAUCUCAACGUUUGACCUCGGAUCAGGUAGGGAUACCCGCUGAACUUAAGCAUACAAUAAGCGGAGGA
rnacentral:misc_RNA from 1 species